AAUUUGAAGAAGGUAUCUUUGGGCCCGGCUCUUGUCUAUGUUCCUUGGAACAGGACGUCACAGAGGGUGAGAAUCCCGUGCGAUGAGAUGACCCGGGUCUGUGUAAAGUUCCUUCGACGAGUCGAGUUGUUUGGGAAUGCAGCUCUAAGUGGGUGGUAAAUUCCAUCUAAAGCUAAAUAUUGGCGAGAGACCGAUAGCGAACAAGUACAGUGAUGGAAAGAUGAAAAGAACUUUGAAAAGAGAGUGAAAAAGUACGUGAAAUUGUUGAAAGGGAAGGGCUUGAGAUCAGACUUGGUAUUUUGCAUGCUGCUCUCUCGGGGGCGGCCGCUGCGGUUUACCGGGCCAGCAUCGGUUUGGAGCGGCAGGAUAAUGGCGGAGGAAUGUGGCACGGCUUCUGCUGUGUGUUAUAGCCUCUGACGAUACUGCCAGCCUAGACCGAGGACUGCGGUUUUUACCUAGGAUGUUGGCAUAAUGAUCUUAAGUCG
rnacentral:rRNA from 1 species